CCUGUUGGUGACAGUAUAGGCACAGUCUUAUGUUAGACUGUGGUAUAGGGCUGUUUUCGUGUAUUGUUUGUGGGGAGAAAGUAAAAUUUUGGUUACAAAAUUCUGAAACGGAUUGCCGAGCUGUACCGAAUCGUUCUAACAGUUCGUCUAAAUAGUUCACGUCAUUUUGAGUUAGAGCAACUAAACAUUAGAGAGCAAAAUGAUUAUAGACCUGUAAAAGUGGUAGAGGAGGUAGUUAACCGUUGAAAGUAGUCACAGUUGAAAUAUCGUGUGUUUUUUGCAUAAUGUGUAUGGUUACGAUUUGUUUUAAGUUUCACUUUGAGGAUGCGCAGCUGGAGAUGAAGAGCGACCUGCUGGAAGAGAACUGUUAAAACAGAAAGCAACUCCUAUGAAAUUCGAAGUUCUAAAUCCUUCGAAAUGGGAAUAACCAAAAGCAAGGAUAGUAAUAAAAGAAGAUAUUAAUGUCUCCAAUCAACAGCAAGCUGAACACAUUUUUACAUUCAGACCAUAUCCUUAUAAGCAACCAAAUGAAAAUAUUAUUUGCUCUGUAAGUGAAAUUCUUUGGUGGUACAAAUGAUUAUGAAUUACAGAGGAUCACCAGUUACCCACUGCUGUUGGCAAGAACACUGUGGAAGAGGACUGAAGCCAGAUACAGAAUGAAGCUAGAGUUUGAAGAUGGGCAGGAAAAACUGUGUACUUUGAUUAAAUGAAAUCCAAUUAGGCAUUUUGUUGAAGGUGAUAAAGGUUUAAAAAGCUAUAUAUAUGAUUUGUAUGUGAAGAGUUACGCAGAGCUGCAGCUUCCGGGCCAUGCUUUGGUUUUCGUGGUGUGAGCUUCACAGGCACUAGCCUGUGAAUCGGCUUAAAAAAUGAAUUAUUUUUCAUCUUAAAACCAUGUUUAGAGUUUUUUGAACAAAACUGUGGUUACGAGAAGUGAACUGGACAUUAGGAAGUUGUUCAAAAAUUAAUCUAGAGAUUUCUAAUGUCUGUCCAUCCUAACGUUCUUGCUGCCUGCAUGCGUCAGUGUUGUCAGGUUUCUGUUCAAAAAACACAUACUACGCAACUGUUUCUCCAGUUUAAAUCCCUAUUAGAAGAUACCAUUUGUGAUGCUCACAUGAUUGCUGUAUCUGUCUUUGGUCUGAGAGUGUUGCUUUACUUACAAAGUUUUCAUGUAGUUUGCAUUGCUGCUAUUUAGUCAUUCUCAACAUUUAUUAUGAGUAUAAUUUGUUUCAAUGUGAGGCGGUUAACAGGUGUGAUGUUCAACAGUUGUUAUGAAUUAUAAUUCGGGUUUAAUAUGAGAUGGGCACUGUUCGUUGCGACUGAUUUUGAGAGAGUGGCUGAAGCUGAAAAGUGGGAUCUUGAGGCAACUAAAGAUGCCAGAAUAACGAGGAGAAAUAAGAACAAGUGAGAUGAUGAGAAACGCUGAAACCAAGAAAAUUAUGGAACUGCGGAGCAUAUUGUGAACAAUAGAGCUGAGUAUAUCACAUUAUGUUGAAUUUUCCAAGAAUUAAAUUCUCUUACGUUUUUAUUCAUUUAAUUAUGUGUGAAUUGACCAGUUAGGAUCGUACUACAAUUUCAUUUCUUCUCUUUCUGAUGUUUCUUCUUUCUCCAUUACUCCUUUAUAUUGACACUGUGCUGUUGCUUCUGUUCAUCCACCCAGGCUUUUCCAGUCUUGGUUCUUCUUUUCAUGUGUAAUCAUGGUCCACAAUGUAUCCUUAUUUUACAUUUGAACUUCCUGAAUGUUAACAUUUCCAGAUCUUUACGAGCUUCCUCAAUCCUUAUCGUUGUGUUCUUGUUACACAGGUAGUUGAAUAUCCUUUUGGAUAGUCUGGUUUUGUCCAUUCAGUACAAGUGUCCUAGAAAUGAUUACCUCCGCUAGUUCGUUGUCUCUGAAAUUUUCUCCACCUUAUUGUAGAUUUCAUUGUUGCUCUGAAAUUUCCAACCGGUUUCAACCUGGGUUUUACCCAUGAUUAUCCCUUAACUCAUCUUCCUAGUAAGUCCAGCUUUUCCAACUUGUAAUUCAUUGAGGCAUUCACUGGCAUACAGGCACACUGUUUUUACCACAACAUUGUAGUGCUAUAUUGCGACAUUCCAAGAGAUGCACUUUUUGUUUUAAAGGUUUGUAGUAAAUCUGUAAGCUCUCUGCAUUUGUGAGAUCUGUUCCCCCACAGAGGCUUUCUCCAGUCCGUUGUCUUGUAUGGCUUCACCGAGGUAUUUGAAUUUUUUUACCCUCUAAAUCUACCCAAUCUCCGUUCCAAGGAAUUGUGGUCCAUGUUUCUCACUUGUCAUGACUUUGGUCUUCCCUUUAGAGAUCCUAAGUCAUGGCAUGACAUGCCGGAACUGAUUAGCUGAACAGUUCGCUUUCUUAGGAAUUCACACACACUUCCUGUUUUGCCAGGCAUCCUCUGUAGUAGGUUAGUGUGUGUGGCUGCUUCUCCUAAGUUCUCUGAAAGUGUCACAAAAUCAUCAGUGAAAGCCCAGCAGUUUACUUUGAUUCCUCCUGAUAUUCUUCCUAGACAGAUUGGGCCAAUCCCUUGAUUUUCAAGUUCAGAAUUCCAAAUUCUCACAAUCUUCUCCAGGAUACAGUUAAACAGUAUUGGUGAUAAUCCAUCGCCCUGUCUUACACCUGUUCUCCCAUAAGCUUCACUUUGGAAGUUGUGCCUGUUAAGAUGUAUGUGAUAAUUUUUGCCAGCUUGUUUCUGACCCCAAAUUCUGUGAUGAUUCUAUCUAGAGUCUCUCUAUCCACCGAGUCCGUUCUAUUCAGCAGUGUCCCUGGGAGGAUCUUCUCGAUGACUGGGUGUAGUGACAUGCCUCUGUAGUUGUUUACAAGUUGUUUGUACCUUUCUUAUGGAGUGGGUAGAUCAAUGAUGUUUUCCAUUCAUCUGGCAGUUUUCUGUCUCCCAUAUUUGCUGAAGGAUUUGGUGUAGGUCGUCUACGAUUUCAGUUCUGCCCAUUUCAGCAUUUUUGCUGAUACUGCGUCUUCUCCACUGGCAUUGUUGUUUUUGAGACUUUUUAGGGCUUCCUUUGUUUCUUCUUCAGUUAGUGGGGUGUUAUCCUCUAGGUUUUGAAGAGGAGCCAGAAGUUUGUAUGGUGGUUGGAGGUUGUCAGUUGAACAGCUUGUAGAAGUAUCUGGCUAGUAGAGUGCAAUUUUCUUCAUUAUUCAAUCCAAUUUUGCCCUGUUCCUUUUUGAAGCUUACACUUGGGUCCUGAUAUCAUUUGAGCCGAUCUUUUGAAGUUUGAAAAAGUCUCUGUAGUUAUUUUUUGGGUAGCUGUCCUGGAGAUUUUCUAAUUUUGAUUUCUCAAAUGAUUAUUUGACUCUGCAGAAUAUCCUUGCCGUUUCUUUUCUUUGUUUUCUGAAUUGUUCCAUGCAUUGACUCUCUUUUCGAGUGCUUUCUCACAUUCUUCAUUCCACCAGAUUAACCGUUUUGUCUUUGCCUGACAGUGUUUUCUUUGCGGCAUCAUUGAUCUCUGUACAGAGUUGUUGCCAGGUCUCAAUGCUAGAGGAGUGGAUUUCUUCUGUUAAGUUAUUUGGAAUAUCUCGAUUGAUAUUCACUGGGUUGGUGUUAUACUUGAUCACUAUGGGUGGCUCUGUUUCAUUUUGGUGCGAGAAAAUGCAUUUUAACUUUGCAUAGGUUGUGAUCAGAGUCGAAUUUACUGCCUGAUUAGUUUAACACUCAUCUCUUGUCUAGUGUUUUUCCUGGUUAUUGCUACAUGGCCUAAUUGGAAUUCUCCUAGGUUGGGAUUUGGAGAUACCCAAGUCUUUGCUUUUCUUGGGACUUUACGCAAAUGAGUUGACAUUACCUACAACUGGGAAGUUUUGCAGCAUCCAGUUAGCAUUUGCACUGUCUGAUUUGUUCUUCCAUGUGCUGAGCAGCCUCUUGCUAUGUCUUUAUAUUUUCUUUCUCUCUCGAUCUGUACGUUGAAGUCACCUAGAAGGAUUUUCUAUGGUUCACAUGUAUCCUGGAGAUUUGUUUCCAGUAGAUCCCAGAAGCCGUCUACUGUUUGGAGGUUGUUCUUGUUGCCUUUGUUAAUUGGUUUGUGGCAGUAUAUGGGAGUAUAUUUCUUGUUUAUGCACUUGAUUGUCAGUAUGGAUAACCUUCCAGAUUUUGAUGAGAAGCUCAUGACAUUAACUAUGGUUCUGUUUAGGUAAAAGGCACUCCCCAGGAGAGGAGUGUUAAUCAUUAUCUUUAUUGCUGGCUUUCCUUUCAAUGUUCUUUGGUGUUGAGAGUCCACAAUGAGGUCAUCGGAAAUACGGAAGCGUCUGAUCCCACCCGUCUGCUUUGGCCCAUGACGUCACAAAUAUGGCAGAAACAAAAACAAACACACACACUUUCCACAAGACGCUUAAUGACACUAACGGGGCAAGCGCGGGAAAUGGGGUGUUUUGGGUGGGGGGCAAAUUAAAUAUAAACAAAUUUAGACUCCUUGCGUAGUUACAAUGUGUAAGUGAAGACAGCCAUGCAUGAAUACCCACCCACCUCCCCAGGGGUCGUAACCCCUGCAACCCAUAGAAGAUAAAGAUGCUUCAGUAGCUGAUUAAUGUUUUUUGUCUUUUUAAAAAAAAAAUCUCACGGGAUAGAACGAACAGAUCAGAAAAGUAAAUAAAAUACGAUAAAACAGAACUGGAGACAGCCACACUCAAACCAAACUCCGCGCCGUCACGACGUCACACACGACAACACCCUUACGUCACGGGUCAAAGCCGACGCGUGUGAUCGGACGCUUCUGUUGACCCAGGUCAUCUAGGAAUCUGGUCUCUCAUACAGCCAAGAUGUGAAUUUCGCUGCCAUACAGGAGCUUUUCGAAUUUUUAUUUUUUUCCGACUCGGAGGAGUGAAUUUACAUACGGUCCAAGUGUAGUAUUUCUUUCCGAAUUUCAGUUUGGAAGGUAAUAGGUACUAUUCACUGGAGAGAAGACUGGAUACUAAUGUACUAUCUACAGGAAGGAAGAUAUGUACUGAUUAAUUAUAAAACAGUGGCCUUAAUUUUGAUUAUCAUGUGUAAAUAUUAUUAGAAUAAAAACUUGUUCCUGAAAUGACAUGAGCGUGGGCUGCUCUCUUGAUAGAUAUGUCAUUAAGGUGUCCUUGAAGUUUCAAGCACCUAAGUAAAUUAGUCAGUGCAUAGAUUCCAAGUAAUGAUUGGCAUAUAUGAAUGUAAUUAGAUGAUCUUCACAAAAAAUUGUAAUAAAGAAAAUGAAAGAACUAAUGUUACCAAUUGCAUAUCACUUUUCAGCAACAAUCACUCCUGUUGUCCUAAAAUUUUCAUCAUAUUAAGAGUUUGCCUUUUUUCUGUGAGCCAUAUAAACUUUGUGAAAAUAGUUAGUAUUUUUCCAGCCGUUCACAAGAAGUUAAUUUAUUCAGGUUGUGGCAUCAUUUUUAACUGGUAACUUUGCAGACCCAAACAGUCUUCGGAAUAGCCUGUUGAAGGCAGUUGAUCGUUUGCAUGAUCAAGGAAUAUUAGUGAUAUGUAUGUAAAGUGAUAUGGGUGGUAGAAGUGUUAUCAUAUGUGGAUUUCUUGGAGUCCUUUCUUGUCUUAACAAAUGAAUUCCUUCUAGUUGUUGUUACAUUAUUAAUUUGGAUUAUUAUUUCAUAAAUGAAUCAAGAAAGGAAGACAGU